GAGGAAUAUUGGUCAAUGGACGAGAGUCUGAACCAGCCAAGUAGCGUGAAGGAUGACUGCCCUAUGGGUUGUAAACUUCUUUUAUACGGGAAUAAAGUGAGGCACGUGUGCCUUUUUGUAUGUACCGUAUGAAUAAGGAUCGGCUAACUCCGUGCCAGCAGCCGCGGUAAUACGGAGGAUCCGAGCGUUAUCCGGAUUUAUUGGGUUUAAAGGGAGCGUAGGCGGACGCUUAAGUCAGUUGUGAAAGUUUGCGGCUCAACCGUAAAAUUGCAGUUGAUACUGGGUGUCUUGAGUACAGUAGAGGCAGGCGGAAUUCGUGGUGUAGCGGUGAAAUGCUUAGAUAUCACGAAGAACUCCGAUUGCGAAGGCAGCUUGCUGGACUGUAACUGACGCUGAUGCUCGAAAGUGUGGGUAUCAAACAGGAUUAGAUACCCUGGUAGUCCACACAGUAAACGAUGAAUACUCGCUGUUGGCGAUAUACGGUCAGCGGCCAAGCGAAAGCAUUAAGUAUUCCACCUGGGGAGUACGCCGGCAACGGUGAAACUCAAAGGAAUUGACGGGGGCCCGCACAAGCGGAGGAACAUGUGGUUUAAUUCGAUGAUACGCGAGGAACCUUACCCGGGCUUAAAUUGCAACUGACUGAACCGGAAACGGUUCUUUCUUCGGACAGUUGUGAAGGUGCUGCAUGAUUGUCGUCAGCUCGUGCCGUGAGGUGUCGGCUUAAGUGCCAUAACGAGCGCAACCCUUAUCGAUAGUUACUAGCAGGUCAUGCUGAGGACUCUAUUGAGACUGCCGUCGUAAGAUGUGAGGAAGGUGGGGAUGACGUCAAAUCAGCACGGCCCUUACGUCCGGGGCUACACACGUGUUACAAUGGGGGGUACAGAAGGCAGCUACACGGCGACGUGGUGCUAAUCCCGAAAGCCUCUCUCAGUUCGGAUUGGAGUCUGCAACCCGACUCCAUGAAGCUGGAUUCGCUAGUAAUCGCGCAUCAGCCACGGCGCGGUGAAUACGUUCCCG
rnacentral:rRNA from 1 species